CACGUAGGGAGCAAGCGUUGUCCGGAUUUAUUGGGCGUAAAGAGCUCGUAGGCGGUUUGUCGCGUCUGCUGUGAAAACUGGGGGCUCAACCCCCAGCCUGCAGUGGGUACGGGCAGACUAGAGUGCGGUAGGGGAGAUUGGAAUUCCUGGUGUAGCGGUGAAAUGCGUAGAUAUCGAGAGGAACACCUGCGGCGAAGGCGGGUUGCUGGGCUGACACUGACGCUGACAGCGCGAAAGCUAGGGGAGCGAACGGG
rnacentral:rRNA from 1 species